CAUGCACUUAAUUUUGUUGGUUUUUAGGAAAAUACAGGUGUACAAUCAGAAUGUUGAGGCAGGAUAUGCAGCGGACAUUAAACACAUGUAGAUGGUGCUGUUCUGUAAAAGAUUUCUUCCAGUCUGUAAAGUAAGUGUCUCCAGGUAUUGCGCUUUUCUACUUAACAGGAAGGGGAUUUCUGAUUACAAGUUUUUUGUGUUCAGCAUAACUGGAAAAACGUCCCCUGCUAGCAAAUGGUUCAUGGCCUCUGUCUAUUGUGCUUUAUCUCCCUGCAAUGCGGCUGCUCUUUCUGAGUAUAAAGAGACAUUUUUGUUGCGGUGCAUGUCACGAUGAGCAAUGCCCCCAGGGCAUAC